rnacentral:rRNA from 1 species
GGAUGAACGCUGGCGGCGUGCCUAAUACAUGCAAGUCGAGCGAACGGACGAGACGCUUGCUUUUCUGAUGUUAGCGGCGGACGGGUGAGUAACACGUGGAUAACCUACCUAUAAGACUGGGAUAACUUCGGGAAACCGGAGCUAAUACCGGAUAAUAUUUUGAACCGCAUGGUUCAAAAGUGAAAGACGGUCUUGCUGUCACUUAUAGAUGGAUCCGCGCUGCAUUAGCUAGUUGGUAAGGUAACGGCUUACCAAGGCAACGAUGCAUAGCCGACCUGAGAGGGUGAUCGGCCACACUGGAACUGAGACACGGUCCAGACUCCUACGGGAGGCAGCAGUAGGGAAUCUUCCGCAAUGGGCGAAAGCCUGACGGAGCAACGCCGCGUGAGUGAUGAAGGUCUUCGGAUCGUAAAACUCUGUUAUUAGGGAAGAACAUAUGUGUAAGUAACUGUGAACAUCUUGACGGUACCUAAUCAGAAAGCCACGGCUAACUACGUG